ensembl:lncRNA
UUUUUGCAUCCGUCAACAACUGGCUGAUGCAUUUCAAGCAAGCUACAGCGCCUAAACUACCUUCAGAUAGUUAUUAUGGGCAUAACUUUGUAGCAAAUAAAUUACUUGAAAGCGUCGUACUGUUUACCGAUUAUUCCUUGGUUCUGGCCAGUUAUUAUUACAGCUAACAGCGAUGUGCUGUUGAGACUUUGGCUGAGUUCGAUGUCUUUCGACGGAUACAGCUGCUAAAGUGAUCUGGGCUGCAGCAGAUGUGUUGAUUUGUACUGGGCGCGACGAGCUGUAUGUCUUCAACACACAAGAACUGAAACUGACGGUAGGCUGAAUCUCAAACAUUACACUUCGCCCACUUCAAUUUACUAAAGGUGAUUCAACGACAAGGAACUGAUUAUUAAUGAACGCUGUUUACACACGGGUGAAUAGCAGGUGAACUGAUUAUGAUAAACACAGAUGAAUAGGUAAUACAAUUAACGGAUUAUUUAUUAACACUGACACGAGUAGCAGCAGGUAAACAUGACAAGGAACUGAGUAUUGAUGAACACUGAGGUGAACAACAGGUGAACUGAGCAUUGAUGAACACUGAGGUGAACAGCAGGUGAAUGGAGUAUUGAUGAACACAGGUGAACUGAGCAUUGAUGAACACUGAGGUGAACAGCAGGUGAACUGAGUAUGAAUGAAAACUGAAGUUGUAGUAAGGGUUUGAACCUGGCUGUCAGCUGUAUGUGAUAUUCUUAAUGGACAAGAAACACUCCUCUUUGGUUGGUUCUUGUCUGUGUUAUUCUAUGCUGUCCUUCAGUUCCUUAGUCCAGUGGAUCAUUUGGUGCGGAGUGAGGACAAGCAGUGUGUCUGUGCUGUCUGUGAGAGUGAUGGGGUGUACUGUGUCGAUCUACCAACUCUGCACCCCAGGUCUCCCACUCCCCCAGCUGACCAGUCCCCUGGCCCUGCUCUAUUCAAAAUGUUGUCUAAUUCGCUGGCAGCCAGAGACAAGGGUGUGUGUUCUCUGAUUGAGGUGGAGGGUUUGUCUCCCUGCGAGAUGCAGGCUGGGGGUUCACUUUCUAUAACGCUGCUGACCAACGGAAACUGACUGGAGUUUAGUCUACCUGUCAUUACUGUUGUCUACCAUGAUGACUCAGAAGAAAAUGACAGCGCAGGAGUGGUCAUGCAACCUGUGUUGGCUUGCGUUUACACCAACAUCUUCAACAACAACAACCACCAUUUUCAUCAUUAUCAUCCUCACCUGGCGUUGGCCAUUUUCUCCUGGAGCCUCUCCUCUUCAAGCUCCUCUUCGGUGUCGAAGCUGCCCUCAUCAACUCCCCUAUGAUCCUUUGCAGCCUGCUUAAUGGGCGUCUCUGCUCCCUCCGGGAUGACCAGGCCUCCGUGUCAGAGUACUACACAGCCCGGAGCAGCCAAUCACUUUUAUUGUAACCUUAGCCAGAAGAAAUGGUGGUCCACAGUGUUUGGUAUCAGUGGGCGACGGGGCAGGGUGGUGCUGGUCAGGACCUAUGAGGAGAGGCCGUAUGGGAGGAGUAAGGUAGCAAGCUUCACGUAGGGGUGUGUGUCGCGGCCUGUGGUGUGUGUGUUUGUGCGCAGGCAGGAAAGGCCUGUAGUAUAGCACCGGCUCAGAUACUCUAGCCCUGGAUCUCCCAGGGGAGCGAGAGGCAGCUCCAAGCCCAUGAGAGAGACUGAUGGUAGGCCACUGUGAGAGGCAAGACCAGGGUCAGGCCAUGGAUAGAGGUUGUGUGUGUGUGUUACAGGCACAGUGCAGCUGGUGGCGUUGUCUCUCAGAGGGAGGCUCCAGCUGUUGAGGUAACUGUAGGGGACACCAGUUUGAAGGAAGUUAAGGAGGCCGUGGAGGUGCAGUGUGUGGACUACACAUCAGCGGACUUGCCCUCCACAAUCACAAGACCUCAACCCAAUUGGGAUGAGUUGGACUGCAGAGUGAAGGAAACGCAGCCAACAAGUGCUCAGCAUAUGUGUGAACUCCUUCAAGACUGUUGGAAAAGCAUUCCAGGUGAAGCUGGUUGAGAGAAUGCCAAGAGUGCAAAGCUGUCAUCAAGGCAAAGGGUGGCUACUUUGAAGAAUCUCAAAUAUAUUUUGAUUUGAUUCAUGCUUUUUUGGUUACUACAUGAUUCCAUGUGUUAUUUCAUAGUUUUGCGGUCUUCACUAUUAUUCUACAAUAUAG